ensembl:lncRNA
GGAAAAGGGCCCCUUCCCUCACAAGCUGGAGAAGAAAACCAGCCUGAAAGCCCCCUCCCACCAGUGCUUCAGGUGGGACUGGGCCUUCAGUUCUCAUCUCUUCCCCUCUGGCUUUGUAACCCCCCUUCUGCUCUCUUUUCACCCACAGGUAACCUCCGUGGCUACAACCUGGCCACCCCCAACCUGACACCCCCCAGCCUCACACCUCCACAGCUGGCCACCCCAAAUCUCCAGCAAUUCUUUCCUCAGGCCACUCGGCAGUCCCUGCUGGGUCCUCCUCCCGUCGGGGUCCCCAUCAACCCCUCCCAGCUCAACCUUUCAGGGCGAACCCCCCAGAAACAGACUCGGACCUCCUCCUCUACGACCCCCAAUCGCAAGGAUUCUUCUUCUCAGACGACGCCUGUGGAGGACAAAUCGGACCCCCCAGAGGGGUCUGAAGAAGCCGCAGAGCCCCGAACAGAAACACCCGAAGACCAAGAACCUCCCCAGUGCCCAGAUGACAUCGCUAAGGAGAAAUGCACUCAAGCACUUGAGCCUGAGUCUUGUGAAGCCUCUGAGCCGCCAGCUAAAAAGUCAAAGAGCUCAGAGGAGCCCACAGAGAAGGGGCCCCCAGGGAAGCUGCAGGCAGAGGUCCGGCUGCAGACCCGGAUGAUGGCACCCAAGCAGACACAGACACCCGAGCUGCUGCCUGAGCCCCUGGAAGCCCGUGCAGCCACGAUUUCAGCCCGGGUCCUGCAGAUCACAGCCCAGGUGCAGCCACAGACCCAGCCACAGACGCUCCCUGUAAAUGCCCAGGUGCAGCCAAAGCUACAGAAGCAGGCACAGGCGCAGACCUCUCCAGAGCACUCAGCACUGCAGCAGGUGCAGCGGCAGCCGCAGGAGGAGGCAGAGCCAUGGCGACAGGCGCAGCCGCCGCCCCCCAGGCACGUGCAGCCGCUGCUACAGAAGCAGGCACAGACGCAGACGUGCCCACAGGUCCAGGCGGAAGCACAGCCGAGGCUCCAGCCGCCGGAGCAGCCACCGAAGCAACCUCUGGUUCAGUUACCAGUGCAGCCACUGGAACCGGCCCAGGGACGGCCUCAGACUCAGCCACAGGUGUCAGUGCCAGCGUCAGAGAAAGCCCCAGUUCUGGUUCGCUCUGCAGCGCUGGAAAGAUUGCCUGAUACAGUAGAAGCUAGAGCAGGCCCAGAGGAGGCCCCACCAGAGCCAGGGGGCGCCCAGGCCAGCGUGGAGGAGAGCCAGGAGGAGCUGACCGGUGGCCUGGAUGUGGCAGAAUGUGAAAAAAGAGCGAGAGAGAUGCUGGGGGUGUGGGGGGCUGGGGGAUCCCUGAAGGUCACCAUCCUGCAGAGCAGCGACAGCCGGGCCUUUAGCACCUCUACCUCUGCCACCCCUGCGGCGGCCAGCACACCCUCUAAGCAGGCCCUUCAGUUCUUCUGCUACAUCUGCAAGGCCGGCUGCAGUAGCCAGCAGGAGUUCCAGGAACACAUGUCGGGAGCCCAGCACCAGCAGCGGCUCGGCGAGAUCCAGCACAUGAGCCAAGCCUUCCUGCUGUCCCUGCUGCCUGUGCCCCGGGACGUCCUGGAGAGAGAGGACGAAGAGCCUCCACCCAGGCGCUGGUGCAACACCUGCCAAGCACUUGGGACCACAAGGUACCAGGGCUUCGCCAAACAAUCCCUGCGACCUUUCUGCACCAUUUGCAACCGCUACUUCAAGACCCCCCGCAAGUUUGUGGAGCACGUGAAGUCCCAGGGCCAUAAGGACAAAGCCAAUGAGCUGAAGACACUGGAGAAGGAUAUAGCCGGCCAAGACGAGGACCACUUCAUCACGGUGGAUGCUGUGGGCUGCUUUGAGGGCGAUGAAGAAGAGGAGGAGGAUGACGAGGAGGAAGAAGAGAUCGAGGCUGAGGAGGAAUUCUGCAAGCAGAUGAGAUCCAGAGACAUAUCCAUAGAGGAGUGGAAAGGCUCAGAGACCUACAGCCCCAACACCGCAUACGGGGUGGACUUCCUGGUGCCCGUGAUGGGCUAUGUCUGCCGCAUGUGCCACAAGUUCUACCACAGCAACUCGGGGGCGCAGCUCUCCCACUGCAAGUCCUUGGCCCACUUUGAGAACCUGCAGAAAUACAAGAAGGCCAAGAAACCCAGCCCCACCACCAGGCCCUUGAGCCGCCGGUGUGCCAUCAACGCCCGGAACGCCCUGACCGCUCUGUUCACUGCUGGCGGCCGUGCACCCAGCCAGCCCAGCACCCAGGACACAGCCAAAACCCCCAGCAAGGUGAUGCCCACACCCCCUCGGCCCCCACUGCCCCGGCGCUCCAGACGCCUCAGAACCUGAUGGAGGAAGCACCCCAUGCCCGCCCCAUCUCAGUCCCAAUCGGCUAAGCUUUUUAGGAGUCUGUGUGGAGACUUUGAUAUGGUCGGUAUUUUUACUGAAAAUCCAAUAAAGGAAGGAGUUUGGCCUGUAUAGUCUCCA